UACGUAGGGUGCGAGCGUUAAUCGGAAUUACUGGGCGUAAAGCGUGCGCAGGCGGCGGCUCAAGUCAGGUGUUGAAAUCCCCGGGCUUAACCUGGGAAUUGCGCUUGAAACUAGGCUGCUUGAGUGUGGCAGAGGGGGUGGAAUUCCGACGUGAGCAGUGAAUGCGUAGAGGAUGUGGAGGAACACCGAUGGCGAAGGCAGCCCCUGGGUCAACACUGACGCUCAUGCACGAAUGCGUGGGAGCAAACAGG
rnacentral:rRNA from 1 species